GUAUGCAACUAAACUACCAUGGAUACAGAGUAGAGAAAGGUGGUUGGAAGUUGUUCCCACACUUAGUAUAUCAGGAACUUCUUUCCCAUGCUUUAGUGCUCUAUCACAGCAAGACAAACUAGAAAGAAUCCCUAAAUGGUCAGUGGAAAUGAUGCACCCAAACAUCUACUGCAGCUCAGAAGAGGAUAUGGGAGCCCGGUUUCAAUAGUGACUCAACCUCAUCUUGAACUGCAUCAUACUCUAUGGCCAUUCACUUGACUGAGGCUAGCAGAGCCUUUUUCCUUUGCCUGAACUGUGCUUCACUGAAAUGUGUCUUCAUUUCAACAUAUGAAUAAAGAUCACUAUAUGGGAUUUGCAGAGAAGUAGCUAUUCCAUGAACUUCAGUGUAACCAAGAACAUAGCAUUAAUACAUAAGAAACCAUGCUAGAUACAAUGUAUUUAAGACAAAUGAAAUAAAAGCAGCAUUUAGAUGCCAAACACCGAAUC